rnacentral:rRNA from 1 species
AUACGGAGGAUCCGAGCGUUAUCCGGAUUUAUUGGGUUUAAAGGGUGUGCAGGCGGCCAUUUAAGUCAGCGGUUAAAUCGUGGGGCUCAACCCCAUUCUGCCGUUGAUACUGGGUGGCUUGAUUGCGGUCGAGGUUGGCGGAAUUCGUUGUGUAGCGGUGAAAUGCAUAGAUAUGACGAAGAACACCGAUUGCGUAGGCAGCUGACCAGACCGCAAAUGACGCUCAUGCACGAAAGUGCGGGGAUCGAACAGGAUUAGAUACCCUGGUAGUCCGCACAGUAAACGAUGAAUACUUGUUUUCGGCGAUAUAAUGUCGGAGGCAAAGCGAAAGCGAUAAGUAUUCCACCUGGGGAGUACGCCGGCAACGGUGAAACUCAAAGGAAUUGGCGGGG